AAGCAGGCCUUUUCUAAAGUGCAAGAGACCGACUUUGCUCGGGGGCUACUUCAACGGACCAAGUACGAAAAAUACUUAUUGUCCCUCUACUUUGACGGAAUCAAAUUAGGAGCUAAAAUGUCAACAUUGUGGUCAAGAAUUUCAGGUAAGACAUAAGAUGCCUACUGGUCAUGUUUGACAAUUAUUAAUUACGAGUUUUUUUUAGUCUAGAAACUGUUUGGAAGUGCAUACGAAAUCUUGCCGGCAUACUUUGUACUUCCCUUGUUGCAAUCGUCAGUUGCGGGUUCGAGGGAAGUCCCCAGUUGAGUUGCGAGCCAUUCAUGAUUGCUCUAAGGAAUUCUGUCGAUGUCGAGAAAUUGUUCAAAGGGGGAACAGAGAAGACCAUUGGUGUGAAGAGAGACAACAGGACGUCCAGAGGAGCCACAAAAAGCUUGGAUACUUUUCUGUUGGCUUUUUGAACUCUGGAGAACCCGCCUUGUGCAUAGCAUACCAUCAAUCCUAUUCCAGUUAUUGUUUCAACGAAAAUACCAUAAUUGGAGAAAAUGGAUCGCUACUGGGGGCAGACACUAAAGAGGAAGACACCAUUGUAGAAGAUCCUUACCUGAAGUUGGAAAAUUCUUCAUCUUAUGUCAAACGGAAGAAAUUUGGCCAUGUUGCUGUGGCCGAGACUCCCGAUUUUGUUGGAGCAAGAUUUGAAUCACGGCUGUGCAAAGUUUUAACAGCACAACCUAAUACCACUUGGUUCUGCAAUGACGACCAAUUCUUGGAAUAUGUCUUAAAAUUGUUCACUUCUAGUUCGAUCCCCGCCAGAACGAUUAAAAAUGGGUCCUGGCUCUAUGUUAUAAUUUUUUUGAGAGCUCAAAUGUAAAGAUAGUCAAUUUUAUGAAUUAUUUUUCUUUGCCGACAUAUAAAAAUUUGAAGCAAAUGAAUAUUGCCACUUUUUCCCACCGAGAUUGUUGAAGAGGCACUUUCUCGAUUAUGAAGGGGCCAUUCCAAAGAUUGUGAAUUAAAUCGAGGAACAAACCCCCAUUGAAGAGAAAAUGGUCAUCUGAUGCCCUGGCUGGAAUUUGCCAUAAAAGCUUGUUUGGCGUUGUCGAGAGCAACUGGAAAUAUUCUUCGACACUGGCUUGCUUUUGACAAUGUAUGUAAAUCCUUUUCAUCUCUUAAAGGGAUCCAGUUUCAUUUGCCAAAGCAACCGAUCUUCAAAGAAACGAACUCUUUCAAAUAGCCAGAGUGCAAGCACAGGACGAACCAGUGCUCUAUUAUCUGAUUGAUUCGAAUAAGCAACAAGUGAGGUGUGCAUUUUAUAAUGAAUAGCUCAUCAAAGCCAACAAACCCGAAGAUGAUGCAUUUUACGCCGUCGAAAGAAUCAUCAGAAGAACUAGCAGCAAGACUCUGGUGAAGUUUCAAGGGUACAGAAAGAAUGUUUGGAUCCCCAAUGAAGAUUUUGAAACUGGACCAGAUGACCUGAACCUACCAACUCAAGGCUGACUCUUGAACAAGAAGCUUGUGAACAAGGAAGGAGGAUUCUGUUUGUUUGCACAACUCGGACACAUGGCUUGGUUUUCAAGAUGUCACAAAACGGGGGAUUCGACGAUAAGCACACCCGUUUUGGAACCCCGAUCUGCACAAUUUCACACUUGUAUGAUCCGUGAUUUGUCUCGAAUGAAUCAGCCACCAUUACUUCUAGAAGACAUAUUUUUGAAAAUGCAAUGGCCAGAAGGAAACGGGCAACCAUGAUACUCGAACUUUGAAAUCAAAGUGAGAAA